GUAACACAUGCGACCCAGCUGGAGGGGCACCUGCAACAAUUAAAACAAGGACUGUUAAUUAACUUAAUUCUGUAUUUAACUCAUUGAUAAAGUUAUGAUAACUUAAAUGCUUGCAAAUGAGCAGUAGACUGUGCAACGUGCAUGUGUGAAACGACUUUGUUAGCUAGCAGUCCACAUUGUUAGCUAUUUUGAGUUGCAUAAGCGUCCAAGAAAAGCAAAUGUUUUGUACAACAUGAGCAUGAAUAUGAUUUACCUUCUUGUUCAUAAGGGUGCGGAGGAGAAUAGCCGCCAUUAUGGAGUGUUUUUGGUCUCUUUUUCUUCUCCGAAGCCCUUCAAACGACCCAAAAGACACAGGAGUGCAAAGACAACUUUAGCUAGCCGGAUUGUUGCAGAGGACAGGGUGGCGGAAUACAAUGCUGCGUUUCAUACGAUCUACAUAACACUACCAGGGCUGAAGCACUUGACUAGCACCAGUGCACAUGUUGUGUUGAUCUGUGGAACCGACGCGUAGCAGUCAUUCGUUGUUGCCGUUCGGUGUGGGCGGGACAUACUUGAUUUAAAAACCAAUCAGUGCGUGCAAUUCACCAACCGCCCUACAUUACAAAAAGCUGAUUGGCUGUUUCCAUAAACACGGUUUGGAGUCGUCUCUGAUACUUAAAGAUCACUUUAAGCAUUUAAAAACAUUAUUCUGAAACUCUGGGGUCAGACAUCUGACCUAGUUUUCUUACUUUUAAAAAAAAAUUAUAUAUUUUUGACUACACAAAAUUCGCUAUAAUGUGUGAAAGAAACACUUAAUAACACCUAGUGGCAGGUAACAGUUUCCAUGGUAACAUGCUUACAGGCAACAUGGAGUUACUUCAGUGGAGUUGUCAAGAUGUUGCAAGAUGGAUUGAGUCUUUAGGAUUCCCACAAUACAAAGCAUGUUUCACAGAGAACCUCAUCACUGGAAGAAAGCUCAUUUAUGUAAAUUGCAUCUACUUGCCACGACUUGGCAUUACAGAUUUUAAAGACAUGAAGAUCAUCUGUGCUGGUGUUCGCGAGCUGCUGGGGAUCACAGAAACCCCAUGGAGUCGCAGCGUCGCUGACCCUCAAAGGGACAACAUGGGCUUGUUCUUGGAAAAAAAGAGCAGGACAGGUGAACGGGCGGACAAUCUCACAUACCAGCAGUUCCUGGAUGACAUGCGUCAGUGAGAGAGAAAGACAUGAAUCACAUUUCAGUAAAGGAGUACAGAAAAAACCAAGACAUGUCAGUGUCACUUCAUUCCACCAACUGUCAGCUCCUGAUGACUCCGAUUGAGACACUCGCAGGCCUUGACAUUAACACUUCCCACCAGCAAAAAUGCUUGUAUGCUGUUGCGGCUGGUGAAGAAACUGUUAUUGUGCUAGUAUUAUGUUUAUGUGGAAAAAUGAGUGAAAUGCUUUUUUUCCGAGAUGAAAUAUUAGUGACAUUAAACGAUAAACUGUUUAAAUCAAAAAGUUAAAACAAUGAUGAUAGAAAAGACUUUUGCCAAAUAUAUAUAUUUUUUUACUGUUUUAUCAAGUGAUUUGUCAUGGGAAAAAACAAUCAUUAAAUGUUUUUAACCUCCGAA